UUUUUUUGUGUAUUUUUGUAUUGUGUUUGCAGCCUAUUUGUAAGUUAAUGUUAAAGUUUAUACUAAAACAAUUAGACAACUCGGCCUCGUUGUCUAAUUGUUAAGUAGUAUUUUGAAGGAUUUGUAGUGUUUGAAGGAACUGACUCGGUGUUUAAUUUAACACUGAGUCGGUUGCCGCAAACAUUUCUUACAAAUCAGUCCAAAACUUAGAAUUUGCCCAUGCAAAAUUCCUACUGUGAUCACAGAAACUUUGAUAGUGUAAACGAGGCUUAAGAAGGGAAUGGUUAUAUAUCCAUUAAUAUAAUAUGCAGUAUUCCAUUCAAAAACAUGUCACAAGCAGAGACCAUUAAAAUUUGCUAAAUGUCCUUUUUUCAUAGAUAUAACAGCCCUAGGGAAAGUAAUAGAUUUGUACAUAUUGUAUAGAUGAUGAAUUUUAACACUAAAUAUAUAUAUUGGAUAUUUGUAUUUUAAUUUUUUGUUGCUCUAACAACUUGUGUAUGAACUAAGUUGAACUUAUGGCUUAUGCUUUAUGGUCUGAGCUAUUUAGCUUAGCUUAUAAAGACUGGGGAGGGUAGUAGCUUGUGGCACUGUCAGAACUAAACUACCUGCAUUUGUG
rnacentral:lncRNA from 1 species